GGGCGUGUGGCGCAGAGGUUAGCGUAUCCGGUUCGCAACUGGAGGGUCGCGGGUUCGAACCCCGCCUCGUCCA